UACAGAGGGGGCAAGCGUUGUUCGGAAUUACUGGGCGUAAAGGGCGCGUAGGCGGCCUGCUAAGUCGAACGUGAAAUCCCUGGGCUCAACCCAGGAACUGCGUCCGAUACUGGCUGGCUUGAAUUCGGGAGAGGGAUGCGGAAUUCCAGGUGUAGCGGUGAAAUGCGUAGAUAUCUGGAGGAACACCGGUGGCGAAGGCGGCAUCCUGGACCGAUAUUGACGCUGAGGCGCGAAAGCCAGGGGAGCAAACAGG
rnacentral:rRNA from 1 species